rnacentral:misc_RNA from 1 species
UCCGGCUUAUCACCGGCAGUUUCCUUAGAGUGCUCAGCUUAACCUGUUAGUAACUAAGGAUGAGGGUUGCGCUCGUUGCGGGACUUAACCCAACAUCUCACGACACGAGCUGACGACAGCCAUGCAACACCUGUGAUGACCCGGCCGAACCGACUCCUAAGAUUCCCUAGGAUAUAAUCACCAUGUCAAGGUCUGGUAAGGUUUUUCGCGUAGCAUCGAAUUAAACCACAUGUUCCACCGCUUGUGCGGGUCCCCGUCAAUUCCGUUUGAGUUUUAAUCUUGCGACCGUACUUCCCAGGCGGAGUGCUUAUCGCGUUAGCUUAGACACUGAGAAUAAAUCCCAAUAUCGAGCACUCAUCGUUUAGGGCGUGGACUAC